GAUGGGCCCGCGUCCUAUCAGCUUGUUGGUGGGGUGACGGCCUACCAAGGCGACGACGGGUAGCUGGUCUGAGAGGAUGGCCAGCCACAUUGGGACUGAGAGACGGCCCAGACUCCUACGGGAGGCAGCAGUGGGGAAUCUUGCGCAAUGGCCGAAAGGCUGACGCAGCGACGCCGCGUGUGGGAGGACGCCCUUCGGGGUGUAAACCACUGUUGCCCGGGACGAACAUGGGACUUGGGUCCCACUGACGGUACCGGGUGAGGAAGCACCGGCUAACUCUGUGCCAGCAGCCGCGGUAAUACAGAGGGUGCGAGCGUUGUCCGGAAUCACUGGGCGUAAAGAGCGCGUAGGUGGUGCGGUACGACCGGUGUGAAAGCCCCCGGCUCAACUGGGGAGAGUCACCGGUAACGGCCGGACUGUGAGUGCAGGAGAGGGAAGUGGAACUCCGGGAGUAGCGGUGAAAUGCGUAGAUACCCGGAGGAACACCAGUGGCGAAGGCGGCUUCCUGGCCUGCGACUGACGCUGAGGCGCGAAAGCGUGGGGAGCAAACAGGAUUAGAUACCCUGGUAGUCCACGCCCUAAACGAUGCGAACUGGACGU
rnacentral:rRNA from 1 species